rnacentral:rRNA from 1 species
CAGAGGGGGCAAGCGUUGUUCGGAAUUACUGGGCGUAAAGGGCGCGUAGGCGGCCUCCUAAGUCGGACGUGAAAUCCCCGAGCUCAACUCGGGAACUGCGUCCGAUACUGGUUGGCUUGAAUCCGGGAGAGGGAUGCGGAAUUCCAGGUGUAGCGGUGAAAUGCGUAGAUAUCUGGAGGAACACCGGUGGCGAAGGCGGCAUCCUGGACCGGCAUUGACGCUGAGGCGCGAAAGCCAGGGGAGCAAACGGGAUUAGAUACCCCGGUAGUCCUGGCCCUAAACGAUGAAUGCUUGGUGUGGCGGGUAUCGAUCCCUGCCGUGCCGAAGCUAACGCAUUAAGCAUUCCGCCUGGGGAGUACGGUCGCAAGGCUG